CUACUUUUUUUUGUCNCCUCCCCUUACCUCUCUUUCCUCNUUAUCUCCCCCCCCNUCCACCGNUUUUUCCCUGUGGCCNCUGCCCCGUCCCCCCCCCGAAUUGAACCCCCUGUUCGUUAGGUGAAACCUGCGGAGGGAUCAUUGCUGGAACUGGCGCCCUUCGGCGCAACCCAGAAACCCUGUUGUGAACUUAUACCUAUUUGUUGCCUCGGCGUAAGGCUGGGCCCCCCGGGGCCCCCCCAGUCUCUGGGGAGCAGGCCCGCCGGCGGCCAAGUAAACUCUUGUUUUUACCUGGAACUCUGAGUAAAAAAACAUAAAUGAAUCAAAACUUUCAACAACGGAUCUCUUGGUUCUGGCAUCGAUGAAGAACGCAGCGAAAUGCGAUAAGUAAUGUGAAUUGCAGAAUUCAGUGAAUCAUCGAAUCUUUGAACGCACAUUGCGCCCUCUGGUAUUCCGGAGGGCAUGCCUGUUCGAGCGUCAUUUCAACCCUCAAGCCUGGCUUGGUGAUGGGGCACUGCUUUGGAGACAGAGCAGGCCCUGAAAUACAGUGGCGAGCUCGCCAGUACCCCGAGCGCAGUAGUUAAACCCUCGUUCUGGAAGUGCUGGCGGUGCCUGCCGUUAAACCCCCAACUUCUGAAAAUUGACCUCGAUCAGUAGAAACCCGCUGAUAAGG
rnacentral:rRNA from 1 species